CAAGAAUCCUAAUACAGGAGUGUUUAUGGUUGGGUUGAGACACAUUCAGGAGCUGAGUGAUUGACAGCAAGAGGAGCAAGACAUGAGGUUAAUAAUUAUCAAAUAUAUGGCAAUGCUGGACUUUAGCUGAUGAUCGUGCUUCUGGAAAACAACAAAAAUUGAGAUAUCUUUUCACCACUUUGUGUGUCCAAGGACCACCUACUUUUUACAUGUGACAAGAACUACCCACCUCCACUCUUCAGGAUAGAACAUGCUGAAGAAAAGAGUUGCAAUGAGAAAAUAUAUGGGAACAAAAUACCUGUGCAAUGCAGAGGUCUGCAUAACUGAACCACUCAGAGGAAAAAAUUUCCCUCCCAGGCUGGAGUACAAUGGCGCGACCUCGGCUCACUGCAACUUCCAUCUCCCAGGUUCAAGCAAUUCUCCCACCUCAGCCUCCUUACUAGCUGGGAUUACAAGCGCCUGACACCAGGCCCAGCUAUUUUUGUAUUUUUAGUAGAGACGGGGUUUCACCAUUUUGACCAGGCUGGUCUCAAACUCCUGACCUCAGUCCAUCGGUCCACCUCGGCCUCCCAAAGUGCUGGGAUUGCAGGCAUGAGCCACCGCUCCUGGCCUCAAGUUUAAUUCUUAAGUGAGUCAAUCAGUUAUAGUCCUGUUCAAAGCUUUCAGUGCACCUAAAAUUUCA
rnacentral:lncRNA from 1 species